CAAAUUGGAGCUUGUAGAAAGCAUUUUAGUUACAUUAAAAAGAAUACUGUAAUUUAGUAUAAUUUGA
rnacentral:tRNA from 1 species